rnacentral:rRNA from 1 species
CGUCUAUAUACGUAUAGCAUAUCAAUAAGCGGAGGAAAAGAAACUAACAAGGAUUCCCUUAGUAACGGCGAGUGAAGCGGGAAGAGCUCAAAUUUGAAAUUUUCAAGGUUUUACCUUGACGAAUUGUAGUUUAAAGAAGUGUUUUCUGUUGGAGUUUUGGUAAAAGUUCUUUGGAAUAGGACAUCAUAGAGGGUGAGAAUCCCGUAUUUGACCAGUUACUUUCCAGCUUUGUGAUACACUUUCAAAGAGUCGGAUUGUUUGGGAAUGCAGUCCAAAAUGGGUGGUAAAUUUCAUCUAAAGCUAAAUACUGGCGAGAGACCGAUAGCGAACAAGUACCGUGAGGGAAAGAUGAAAAGAACUUUGAAAAGAGAGUUAAACAGUACGUGAAAUUGUCAAAAGGGAAGCGUUUGACACCAGUGUUGUUUCCUCGAAAAUCAAUUAAAAAUGGUGGGAUUUUGUGUUGUAUUGACUUUAUCAGCUUUCUGCACUUUUUUCCUAUCUUUUUUAAUGCACUUUUCGUUUAACAAGUCAACAUCACUUUCUUUUGUUGUAAAAGGGUCAUUGGAAGGUGGCUUUCUUUUCGGAGAAAGUGUUUAUAGCCUUGUACUUCUGCAAUCGGAGAGAUUGAGGUCUGCAGCGUAGAUCCUUCGGGGUUAGAUACACUUGUGCUAAGUUAUAGCUUUUCAUAGACAACUUGUUGACUAUGUUUAGUCUUGUAGCUUACUCGCUGACGCUAUUUUACCUACGCUUAGGAUGUUGACACACGCGCGUGCUCG